rnacentral:lncRNA from 1 species
GUGGAUGUCCAGAGUGGAGAGCAGCAAGUCCCUCAGACCUCGCAGUCUUUGCCAUAGCUAAUCGAUUCUGUCAUUCAGAGUGAUAACAGCCAUAAGGAAUUGGUGAGUUCUAAUAUGUUUCAACUUGUGGCCCACUGUGAUUUUCUAGAUAGAAAAAUAGGAAUUUCUUUUGAGACAGAGUUCCAUGUGUCAUAUGUCUCAGGUUGGCUUCAAAUUUUCUAGGUAGGUAAGAAUGACCUUGGACUUCUUCUAAUCCUUCAGCCUCUGCUUCUUGAGUGUCCCGUGUAUGGGCUUCCAUGUCCAGGGCAUGCUAUGCUGAGGAGUGGACCCACAGCUUUAAGCACACUCCACGAACACUCUCCCAGCUCUGCCACAGCUCAACCCUGAACUGUGAAUUUCUAAUAAUCAUCCUUCAUCUACCCCCCCCCAUUAUACUGCUGUCACCUUAUUACGUUAUUUUGCCUUUUUGCUGUCAUAGGAAUUGUUUCCGGGGUUUUGAACAUGCUGGGCAAAUCACCCUACAACUGAGCCAGUUUUCACUGA